rnacentral:rRNA from 1 species
UAGGGAAUCUUCCGCAAUGGACGAAAGUCUGACGGAGCAACGCCGCGUGAGUGAAGAAGGAUUUCGGUUCGUAAAACUCUGUUGUUAGGGAAGAAAAAAUGUAUAGUAACUAUAUACAAAAGAGACGGUACCUAACCAGAAAGCCACGGCUAACUACGUGCCAGCAGCCGCGGUAAUACGUAGGUGGCAAGCGUUGUCCGGAAUUAUUGGGCGUAAAGCGCGCGCAGGUGGUUUAGAAAGUCUGAUGUGAAAGCCCACGGCUCAACCGUGGAGGGUCAUUGGAAACUAAUAAACUUGAGUGCAGGAGAGAAAAGUGGAAUUCCUAGUGUAGCGGUGAAAUGCGUAGAGAUUAGGGGGAACACCGGUGGCGAAAGCGGCUUUUUGGCCUGCAACUGACACUGAGGCGCGAAAGCGUGGGGGGCAAACAGG